rnacentral:rRNA from 1 species
UACAGAGGUCCCGAGCGUUGUUCGGAUUCACUGGGCGUAAAGGGCGCGUAGGUGGCCUGGCAAGUUUGGCGUGAAAUCUCCGGGCUUAACCCGGAAAUGGCGUUGAAUACUGUUUGGGCUGGAGGUUUGGAGGGGGGACUGGAAUUCUUGGUGUAGCAGUGAAAUGCGUAGAUAUCAAGAGGAACACCAGUGGCGAAGGCGAGUCCCUGGACAACACCUGACACUGAGGCGCGAAAGCUGGGGGAGCAAACAGG